rnacentral:rRNA from 1 species
GACGAACGCUGGCGGCGUGCUUAACACAUGCAAGUCGAACGGAAAGGCCCUGCUUUUGUGGUGUGCUCGAGUGGCGAACGGGUGAGUAACACGUGAGUAACCUGCCCUUGACUUUGGGAUAACUUCAGGUAACUGGGGCUAAUACCGGAUAGGAGCUCCUGCUGCAUGGUGGGGGUUGGAAAGUUUCGGCGGUUAGGGAUGGACUCGCGGCUUAUCAGCUUGUUGGUGGGGUAGUGGCUUACCAAGGCUUUGACGGGUAGCCGGCCUGAGAGGGUGACCGGCCCCAUUGGGACUGAGAUACGGCCCAGACUCCUACGGGAGGCAGCAGUGGGGAAUAUUGCACAAUGGGCGGAAGCCUGAUGCAGCAGCGCCGCGUGCGGGAUGACGGCCUUCGGGUUGUAAACCGCUUUCGCCUGUGACGAAGCGUGAGUGACGGUAAUGGGUAAAGAAGCACCGGCUAACUACGUG